UACGUAGGGGGCAAGCGUUGUCCGGAAUCAUUGGGCGUAAAGAGCGUGUAGGCGGCCCGAUAAGUCCGCUGUGAAAGUCCAGGGCUCAACCCUGGAAUGCCAGUGGAAACUGUCGGGCUGGAGUCCGGAAGAGGCGAGUGGAAUUCCUGGUGUAGCGGUGAAAUGCGCAGAUAUCAGGAGGAACACCCGUGGCGAAAGCGGCUCUCUGGGACGGUACUGACGCUGAGACGCGAAAGCGUGGGGAGCGAACAGG
rnacentral:rRNA from 1 species